rnacentral:rRNA from 1 species
GACGAACGCUGGCGGCGUGCUUAACACAUGCAAGUCGAACGGAAAGGCCCUGCUUUUUUGGGGUGCUCGAGUGGCGAACGGGUGAGUAACACGUGAGUAACCUGCCCUUGACUUUGGGAUAACUUCAGGAAACUAGGGCUAAUACCGGAUAGGAUCUCCUGCUGCAUGGUGGGGGUUGGAAAGUUUCGGCGGUUGGGGAUGGACUCGCGGCUUAUCAGCUUGUUGGUGGGGUAGUGGCUUACCAAGGCUUUGACGGGUAGCCGGCCUGAGAGGGUGACCGGCCACAUUGGGACUGAGAUACGGACCAGACUCCUACGGGAGGCAGCAGUGGGGAAUAUUGCACAAUGGGCGGAAGCCUGAUGCAGAAACGCCGCGUGCGGGAUGACGGCCUUCGGGUUGUAAACCGCUUUCGCCUGUGACGAAGCGUGAGUGACGGUAAUGGGUAAAGAAGCACCGGCUAACUACGUG